CUACGCAGAGCUGCAAAAGCUUGGGCUGUUUCAUAGUUUGUGUAAUUUGACUUCAGACUGUUGAUCACCAGCUGCUUAAAAAAAACAGGAGCUUAUCCAGUCCGCUGAAGACCGCAGACCGACAGGAUGGCUUUCAUCUACUCUGUGAUUCUCUGCCUUUUGUUUCAAGCCGAGAGCUGCCAGCUCCAGUGUGUCAAAGCAUUAACCAAAAGACCACAUGUUUGGACUACUAUCUUGACAGAGGGACAAUCUGGCUCACCGAAUUGUAAAGCUGAUAUAUUGUGCACUCAAACGCCUCGUUUCAGCUGGGAAUGGACAAAUGCUGUUAAGCGGUCCAUGCUAUGUCGGACUAAUUACACUCGCGUUAAUGCUAUAAGAGUUUUACACUUCAAUCCUACAGCAGUUGACCACAACACCAAAGUCACAUGUGUGGCACGCUAUGGUGACAUUUCCAUUGGUACAAUUGAGACAUUGAGAGUAGAAUUUCCUCCUAAAAUCCUAAAUCUUCCCCAGUGCAUGGUUAAAGGAAAGGUUGUGGUGUGUGUGUGCAUCAGUCGAGGGAAUCCCCUGCCACAAAUCAGCUGGUCUUUGGCCUCUGUUACAGACUUCUCAUUCACCAGCUCUAGCAGCUCCGAGACAGUGAAUAGCAUCAUCACCAUGCCUGCUGCUUGCUACCACAACAUCCAAUGUAUCAGCAUGAAUGAACUGGGCCAGGCUGUAAUUAAUAUUCAAUUUCGAAACAACACCGACUGUGGGUUGGAUUUAUACCCCAAGUCUUAUGAAGUCCUUCCCUGGAUAGUUGCUGGGGCUGUAUCUUCAAGUCUGAACUUGCUUCUCCUCCUCCAUCUGCAUUUACAAACGGGGUGAAAUUCAACAGAGGGAACCAUGUGAAGAAACAAACCAUUAUGUUACCAUGCAUCGAGCGAAUGUUGAGCAGGACCCAAGGAGUGUCCUGGGCUGCCACCGUGCAACACAGGAAUGUAAGAAAAUAUAAUGUUUGUUGCUCGUUAAGAGCCUUUUUUGUCCUUGAGUUCUGUAUUAUUGUCUUUAUGAUUAGUUUAAAUGUGUGAUCUUAUGCCUGUACAUUAUUCUCACAGUUACCAUAUACUGGGCUGUCAAGUCUCUAAGAUGUACUUUACCUUUAAAUCAUUUCCUAUGCUGUAUUAAAAAGACAAUUGUGUGAAAUUAAGGUGUGAAACCAUUUUUAGACGUGUGAAAUUGUGAGUCAAAUUAAUCACUUCCUGUCAGAUCACAAGGAAAAACCAGAGAUGUAGAAAAAGAGUGUAAGAAAUCGGUUCAACAAAAACAAAAAUAGACAUUGGCACAGUCGCUCAAGCCAAACACAAAUCCUUUCAAACUAUUUUAACUAAAUCAAGUGUUUAUGUUGUUGUUCAUUUGUAGAUUAAACUGCAGCUAAAGCAGCUUUUAUUUACUCAAAACUACACAAUGAAUGGAUUAAAUAAGCUGCAUGAGAAAUGGAAAUCCGAUAUAUACGUGCGGGCGGCUGUGGUUCAGUAUGCAGGGCCCUGGACUUUGGACCGAAGGGACCCCGGUUCACGACCCGAUUGGACCAAGAAAUACAGAGUGUGGACUGGUACUGGAGAGCAGCCAGUACACCUCCUGGGGCACUGCCGAGAUGCCCUUGAGCAAGGCACCCAACUGCUGGCGCUGGCUAGACUGGAUGCCUCUCCACACUCCCAAAAUGCAUGUCUGUGUGUAUAGUAUGUAA